rnacentral:rRNA from 2 species
GGGUUGUGAGGUUAAGCGACUAAGCGUACACGGUGGAUGCCCUGGCAGUCAGAGGCGAUGAAGGACGUGCUAAUCUGCGAUAAGCGUCGGUAAGGUGAUAUGAACCGUUAUAACCGGCGAUUUCCGAAUGGGGAAACCCAGUGUGAUUCGUCACACUAUCAUUAACUGAAUCCAUAGGUUAAUGAGGCGAACCGGGGGAACUGAAACAUCUAAGUACCCCGAGGAAAAGAAAUCAACCGAGAUUCCCCCAGUAGCGGCGAGCGAACGGGGAGCAGCCCAGAGCCUGAAUCAGUGUGUGUGUUAGUGGAAGCGUCUGGAAAGGCGCGCGAUACAGGGUGACAGCCCCGUACACAAAAAUGCACAUGCUGUGAGCUCGAUGAGUAGGGCGGGACACGUGGUAUCCUGUCUGAAUAUGGGGGGACCAUCCUCCAAGGCUAAAUACUCCUGACUGACCGAUAGUGAACCAGUACCGUGAGGGAAAGGCGAAAAGAACCCCGGCGAGGGGAGUGAAAAAGAACCUGAAACCGUGUACGUACAAGCAGUGGGAGCACGCUUAGGCGUGUGACUGCGUACCUUUUGUAUAAUGGGUCAGCGACUUAUAUUCUGUAGCAAGGUUAACCGAAUAGGGGAGCCGAAGGGAAACCGAGUCUUAACUGGGCGUUAAGUUGCAGGGUAUAGACCCGAAACCCGGUGAUCUAGCCAUGGGCAGGUUGAAGGUUGGGUAACACUAACUGGAGGACCGAACCGACUAAUGUUGAAAAAUUAGCGGAUGACUUGUGGCUGGGGGUGAAAGGCCAAUCAAACCGGGAGAUAGCUGGUUCUCCCCGAAAGCUAUUUAGGUAGCGCCUCGUGAAUUCAUCUCCGGGGGUAGAGCACUGUUUCGGCAAGGGGGUCAUCCCGACUUACCAACCCGAUGCAAACUGCGAAUACCGGAGAAUGUUAUCACGGGAGACACACGGCGGGUGCUAACGUCCGUCGUGAAGAGGGAAACAACCCAGACCGCCAGCUAAGGUCCCAAAGUCAUGGUUAAGUGGGAAACGAUGUGGGAAGGCCCAGACAGCCAGGAUGUUGGCUUAGAAGCAGCCAUCAUUUAAAGAAAGCGUAAUAGCUCACUGGUCGAGUCGGCCUGCGCGGAAGAUGUAACGGGGCUAAACCAUGCACCGAAGCUGCGGCAGCGACGCUUAUGCGUUGUUGGGUAGGGGAGCGUUCUGUAAGCCUG